UACGUAGGUGGCAAGCGUUGUCCGGAAUUAUUGGGCGUAAAGCGCGCGCAGGCGGUUCCUUAAGUCUGAUGUGAAAGCCCCCCGGCUCAACCGGGGAGGGUCAUUGGAAACUGGGGGAACUUAGUGCAGGAGAGGAAAGCGGAAUUCCACGUGUAGGCGGUGAAAUGCGUAGAUAUGUGGAGGAACACCAGUGGCGAAGGCGGCUUUCUGGUCUGUAACUGACGCUGAGGCGCGGAAGCGUGGGGAGCAAACAGG
rnacentral:rRNA from 1 species